rnacentral:rRNA from 1 species
UACAGAGGGGGCAAGCGUUGUUCGGAAUUACUGGGCGUAAAGGGCGCGUAGGCGGCCUUCUAAGUCGAACGUGAAAUCCCCGGGCUCAACCCGGGGACUGCGUCCGAUACUGGAAGGCUUGAAUCCGGGAGAGGGAUGCGGAAUUCCAGGUGUAGCGGUGAAAUGCGUAGAUAUCUGGAGGAACACCGGUGGCGAAGGCGGCAUCCUGGACCGGCAUUGACGCUGAGGCGCGAAAGCCAGGGGAGCAAACGGA